GGCGGAGACACGUGCUGGAAGAGCGGCGGCGGCGGCUGGGGCGGCUGCGAAGAAGGCGGCGGCGGAGGGGGCGGCUGCGCCUGCGGGUUGUUAAAUAUGAAAAGCAGUUUUACUGAAGGAAGUUGCAACUUGGAAGAUGUUUAAUAGAACAUCACAAUCACCUGUAAAGUUAAUUGUGAUGCUGGGCUUUAUUUGAAUAAAAGUUUGUAAUAUUUGGUUCAAUGCUAGAUAAGCAGUCUUAAAUUUGG